UACAGAGGGUGCAAGCGUUAAUCGGAAUUACUGGGCGUAAAGCGUGCGUAGGCGGUUCGCUGUGUCCGAUGUGAAAGCCCCGGGCUUAACCUGGGAAUGGCAUUGGAAACUGGCGGGCUUGAGUGUGGCAGAGGGGGGUGGAAUUCCGCGUGUAGCAGUGAAAUGCGUAGAGAUGCGGAGGAACACCGAUGGCGAAGGCAGCCCCCUGGGUUAACACUGACGCUCAGGCACGAAAGCGUGGGGAGCAAACAGG
rnacentral:rRNA from 1 species